CGAGUAACCUGCCCUUAACUCUGGGAUAAGCCUGGGAAACUGGGUCUAAUACCGGAUAUGACUCCUCAUCGCAUGGUGGGGGGUGGAAAGCUUUUUUGUGGUUUUGGAUGGACUCGCGGCCUAUCAGCUUGUUGGUGAGGUAAUGGCUCACCAAGGCGACGACGGGUAGCCGGCCUGAGAGGGCGACCGGCCACACUGGGACUGAGACACGGCCCAGACUCCUACGGGAGGCAG
rnacentral:rRNA from 1 species